CCGGGAUUUUCAGCAAAUUGAGAUUUAAAAACAAUUGCAUAACAGUUGUGAAUAUUCUAGUGCAUAUAUAACCAAAAAAAAGAAAGAAAUUUAAAGCACUAAAGCUUCGAAAAUGUAUAAAAAUACAAUUUAAUAAAAUUCCGCGAAAUUUCAUGAAGGAUUUGGCGAAUUUACGUCAUGGCAAAACACGACGUCAUACGAAUGGAAAUUUUCAAGGGAAAGAUUAUUUCGUGACGUG
rnacentral:lncRNA from 1 species